CAUGCAGUCGAGCGGUAGAGAGAGCUUGCUUCUCUUGAGAGCGGCGGACGGGUGAGUAAUGCCUAGGAAUCUGCCUGGUAGUGGGGGAUAACGUUCGGAAACGGACGCUAAUACCGCAUACGUCCUACGGGAGAAAGCAGGGGACCUUCGGGCCUUGCGCUAUCAGAUGAGCCUAGGUCGGAUUAGCUAGUUGGUGGGGUAAUGGCUCACCAAGGCGACGAUCCGUAACUGGUCUGAGAGGAUGAUCAGUCACACUGGAACUGAGACACGGUCCAGACUCCUACGGGAGGCAGCAGUGGGGAAUAUUGGACAAUGGGCGAAAGCCUGAUCCAGCCAUGCCGCGUGUGUGAAGAAGGUCUUCGGAUUGUAAAGCACUUUAAGUUGGGAGGAAGGGCUGUAGAUUAAUACUUUGCUGUUUUGACGUUACCGACAGAAUAAGCACCGGCUAACUCUGUGCCAGCAGCCGCGGUAAUACAGAGGGUGCAAGCGUUAAU
rnacentral:rRNA from 1 species